rnacentral:lncRNA from 1 species
GAUAGAAUUCAAGACCCCAAUGGAUCUGGACGCUCUUGCCUCUCAGAAUUGAUUUCACUUCUAUAUCAGUGGCUGCUGAGGAGAGGAAGAGUCCUGCUUCUAGAUUGCCACCAUGCUUACCCAGAAGUCCUGUGUAUAUCCUUUGAUCCAACAACGCCACUAUUUGUCAAGCAUCCCAAAGAGAUCAACAGAAAAAAGAUCUAUAUGAACAAGAAUACUUAUUAUAGCUCUCUUUUUGUAGCAAAUCAUUAGAAAAAAGAUAAUAAGUGCUUUCCAAAUGGGGAAUUAGUGAAUAAAUUGAGGUAUGAAAAUGUAAAGAUA